AUUGAACGCUGGCGGCAGGCCUAACACAUGCAAGUCGAGCGAGCGGCGGACGGGUGAGUAAUGUAUGGGGACUGCCCGAUAGAGGGGGAUAUCUCCUGGGAACGGUGGCUAAUACCGCAUACCGUCGGAUAACCCAUAUGUGAUUAGCUAGUAGGUAGGGUAAUGGCUUACCUAGGCGACGAUACCUAUCUGGUCUGAGAGGAUGAUCUGCCACACUGGGACUGAGACACGGCCCAGACUCCUACGGAGGCAGCAGUGGGGAAUAUUGCACCAUGGGCGCAAGCCUGAUGCAGCCAUGCCGCGUGUAUGAAGAAGGCCCUAGGGUUGUAAAGUACGUUCAGUAGGGAGGCGUUACCGGCAGAAGAAGCACCGGCUAACUCCGUGCCAGCAGCCGCGGUAAUUC
rnacentral:rRNA from 1 species